GACCAACGCUGGCGGCAUGCCUAACACAUGCAAGUCGAACGGACAGAACAGGGAAGCUUUUCGGGGUGGAACUGGAAAGUUAGUGGCGGAUGGGUGAGUAACGCGUGGACAACCUACCUUGUAAAGGGGAAUAACCUCGAGAAAUCGAAGCUAAUACCCCAUAAUAACCUUGCUUCGCAUGAAUUAAGGAGGAAAGGCGGCCUUAGCGCUGUCGAUACAAAAUGGGUCCGCGUCUGAUUAGCUAGUUGGUGAGGUAAAGGCUCACCAAGGCGACGAUCAGUAGCCGGCCUGAGAGGGUGAACGGCCACAUUGGGACUGAGACACGGCCCAAACUCCUACGGGAGGCAGCAGUGGGGAAUCUUCCGCAAUGGGCGAAAGCCUGACGGAGCAAUGCCGCGUGAGUGAAGAAGGCCUUCGGGUUGUAAAACUCUGUCCUUAUCGAAGAGAGAGUGUUGUAGUAACUGACAAUACUAGGACGGUAGAUGAGGAGGAAGCCCCGGCUAACUAUGUG
rnacentral:rRNA from 1 species